GGGGGUAUAGCUCAGCUGGGAGAGCGCUUGCAUGGCAUGCAAGAGGUCAGCGGUUCGAUCCCGCUUACCU
rnacentral:tRNA from 1 species